GAUUUCUGACAUUAAUGCGCUUGGCCGGCCACGGUUACGUGUGUCAGUGCCGAGUCGUGUUUGUCAUCCUUCUAGCGCAUGUCCAUUUGCUCUUCAUUGAGUGAGUUGGUCAUUCUCGUGCUAGAUCUUUUACUUUGAAAAAAUUAGAGUGUUUAAAGCAGGCGUUUGCUAUGAAUACAUUAGCAUGGAAUAAUAAUUUAGGACUUCGGUUCUAUUUUGUUGGUUUCUAGAACUGAAGUAAUGAUUGAUAGGGAUGGUUGGGGGUGCUCGUAUUCAGUGGCCAGAGGUGAAAUUCUUGGAUUCACUGAAGACGAACUUAUGCGAAAGCAUU
rnacentral:rRNA from 1 species